rnacentral:lncRNA from 1 species
GGAAAACAGAUUCAGUACAAAGCUCCCUCCUUUUUUCCCCUAGAGCCACACAAAAACUCGGAAGUGAGGGUGGGAUGUAGCAGCACGUGACCAAAUCAACCAACACGCCAAAGUGCAGCCUGUGGUUCCACACCAAUGAAAGAAGGGCAGGGUUUUUCCCUGGCAUCUGGCGCCGGGCACCCGGCAGCCUCACACUGUGGCAUGCGAGGGACUGCGAGACUGCACUUCUGGGGUGUGCGGCAGGGGACGGAGGGCACAGCGCACAGCGCGGCACUCGGUGUGCAGGAUGGCAAGAGCUUGUCUCAGCUUCCAGGAUCAGGAUGUGCAGAUGAAUGGAAGUUAGCUGUGGAAUCUGCUUGA